GUUUCUGUCUCUGUGGAGGUUGUUUCCGCUGUUUCCGUUGUUUCCGUUGUUGUUCUUGACAUGUCACCUAAUUUUCUGCCUUAUGUUUCUGUCUCUGUGGAGGUUGUUUCCGUUGUUUCCGUUGUGUCCGUUGUUGUUAUUGACCUCUCACCUAAUUUUCUGCCUUAUGUUUCUGUCUCUGUGGAGGUUGUUUCCGUUGUUUCCGUUGUUUCCGUUGUUUCCGUUGUUUCCGUUGUUUCCGUUGUUUCCGUUGUUGUUCUUGGCCUGUCACCUAAUUUUCUGCCCUAUGUUUCUGUCUCUGUGGAGGUUCUUUCUGUUGUUUCCGUUGUUUCCGUUGUUUCUGUUGUUUCUGUUGUUGUUCUUGACCUGUCACCUAAUUUUCUG
rnacentral:lncRNA from 1 species